rnacentral:lncRNA from 1 species
CAUCUCUCAGCAGCUGCUCUGCUUACAGCUUCUCGAGCUAUGGCUGGAUCUGCCUACAGCCACUCUCUGGCUCUGCCUGCAGUUGAGCACAAAGACCUGAAGGAGACUCCCACAGCCUUCAGGGAGAAGAAAGGAGGCAGCCAAGGCUAUUAAAAGGAACUUGUGGCUUGUGGCCUUUUUGUGUAGGAGCAGUCUGGAAGGGGAGAAAAGUGCACCGAAGCCACAGUGGCGGUUAAUGAGCUGUGAGAUGAGGCGCAGCCGCGACUGACACUGCUUCCAGGAUCCUUCAUCUGCCCUUUGUGCUUCGUGUACAUGUGUCUGUUCAGGCCGGCCAGAGGCGCCCAGAAGAGCAUCCACCACGGCUGCCGGGGAAAGACCGCCCACCA